rnacentral:snRNA from 1 species
GGAUGUGAAAGUGAUCUCGUUGCGACAUCUGUCAUCCCAUUGAUCACCAGGGUUGAUUUGGCUAAUCUGGCUAUCUAGGCUGGUGUCCCCUUCCUCCCUCACUGCUCCAUGUGCGUCCCUCCCAAAGCAGUGCACUUGGUCAAGGAUGGCCUUCCCCAGAUAGAGAUGGACCGGUCUUCGGUGGAGGGUAUCAGAGUAGCUGCACUCCCCUGCUAGAACCUCCAGACAAGUUCUCAAGUACAUGUGCAUGUCAAAACACUGGAUCAGCACUAAUGUCAUGGUGUCUUCCCUCUCUUUGUCACUUUCUAUGUCCUU